rnacentral:rRNA from 1 species
UACGUAGGGUGCAAGCGUUGUCCGGAAUUAUUGGGCGUAAAGCGCGUGUAGGCGGCAGUGCAGGUCGGGUGUGAAAGCCCUCAGCUCAACUGAGGAAGUGCGCCCGAAACUGCAUUGCUUGAGUACCGGAGAGGAUGGUGGAAUUCCCGAAGUAGAGGUGAAAUUCGUAGAUAUCGGGAGGAACACCGGUGGCGAAGGCGACCAUCUGGACGGAUACUGACGCUGAGACGCGAAAGCGUGGGUAGCAAACAGG